rnacentral:SRP_RNA from 1 species
GGUCAGGACAUUCGAUUUCAGCAUGGUGAACUCCGCCAGGUCGGGAACGAAGCAACGGUAACUUCUGUUGGAUUGUGAUUGUUCUGACCCCU